AGGGAUCAUUACCGAGUUUACAACUCCCAAACCCCUGUGAACAUACCUAUACGUUGCCUCGGCGGAUCAGCCCGCGCCCCGUAAAACGGGACGGCCCGCCCGAGGACCCCUAAACUCUGUUUUUAGUGGAACUUCUGAGUAAAACAAACAAAUAAAUCAAAACUUUCAACAACGGAUCUCUUGGUUCUGGCAUCGAUGAAGAACGCAGCAAAAUGCGAUAAGUAAUGUGAAUUGCAGAAUUCAGUGAAUCAUCGAAUCUUUGAACGCACAUUGCGCCCGCCAGUAUUCUGGCGGGCAUGCCUGUUCGAGCGUCAUUUCAACCCUCAAGCUCAGCUUGGUGUUGGGACUCGCGGUAACCCGCGUUCCCCAAAUCGAUUGGCGGUCACGUCGAGCUUCCAUAGCGUAGUAAUCAUACACCUCGUUACUGGUAAUCGUCGCGGCCACGCCGUUAAACCCCAACUUCUGAAUGUUGACCUCGGAUCAGGUAGGAAUACCCGCUGAACUUAAGCAU
rnacentral:rRNA from 1 species